UAGCAGUCCCAGAUUGCCACUAACUGACC
rnacentral:piRNA from 1 species